GGGCCGUUAGCUCAACUGGUAGAGCGCCUCAUUUGCAAUGAGGAGGUAGCAGGUUCGACCCCUGUACGGUCCACCA
rnacentral:tRNA from 1 species